CUGAUUGAUUCUCUUGUGAGAAUGGAGGAGGAAUCUGCAUUCCACAUGGUAGAGCCAUUUAAAAAAAGAAACCUCUGUGGGUUUUGCCGCACAUGCAGUGCUAGGGAAAGUGGAGCAUCUAGGAUGACUCCGAGGUUUUUGAGCAGAGCACCUGGAAGAAUGAAGCUGUCAUUACUGAGACAGCACAGACUGCAGGGGAGCGUGGUUUGCGAUGAGUGCCAGGAGAUGCUGAUUAUACAUCCCAGGGAAGCUGUUAGGGAAUUAAAUAUACCCAACUGGACUUCAGAGAAGUCUGAGCUGGAGAAAAAGGCCUGGACCUUGUCAGUGUUAGAGAUGGUUUUUCGACUGGCUGAGAUUUCCAGAGGAGGAAGGAGAGAGGACAGAAGAGAAGGGAGGGGAGGGGAAGGGAGGAAAAGAGGGAAGCUGGAAGGGAAGAGGAGAGGAUAAGUCUGGAGACUGAGGCUGAAGCCUGUGAGGCAUAGAGGUUAGGGAGGCAGGAAGGAACCAGGAAAGAAGACUGCAGAGGAGCUCGCAGUGAGGGGGUUGGAGAACCGUGAGAGUGGCGUCUGCAACGCUGACAAGAAAAGGUGCUUCAAGAAGGAAGGAGCGAUCGGCUUCGCCUAAUUCUGCUCGUGGGUCGAGUAAGGGGAGGCGUGAUUACGGAUCGUCAGAUCUGGCAACGUAGAGAACACUGGUGACUUGGACAAGGGUGUGUCUGGGGAGCGGUGAGAAGAAAGUUCCAGAAUGGGAGACAGGGACCUGGGGAGAACUCCAGAUUGCCUCUGCACGGACAGGAGCUGGGGGAGAUGAGGACAGAGGAGGCUCCUAGAAAUGGAGGUGUGAGCUCCACAGUAUGCUGAGGUGCUAUGGGCAAGUAUCCGAAGUGACGGUGGGUGCAUUGGAAGUCCAAUCAACGGUGCUAAACCUGGAACCGAUUCUCUGUUGCCUUUAGCAGGUUGUUCACGUUUUGUACAGAAGUGGACGUUUUGAACAUUCACGCUGCACAGGGCUUCCUGGUUGCUCUGCUCACCUCCAUUUCUUCUGCUGCUAGGAAGCCCCUCUCUCCCCAGUGCCAGUGUAUCUACGUCCUGCUCUUGCCUGGUGCCGUGUGGCUCUGAUGGUCUCUUCUGUGUCCCCUUAGCUCAGGUGCUAAGUAGUCUCUCAGUUUCCUUAAAAUAACUGUUUUGUGAUGUUAUCGGUCCCUUUAAACAAAAAAUCCCCUCAUCCCUCUUCUUCUCCCUCUCAGCCUUGCACACCCUUUUUAGAACCGAAGUCUUUUCUCUCUGCCUCUUACGGUCAGUGGCUGGCUUGUUACCCAAUAGCAAUAAGCUAACCUCAAAGAUCAGGAAGGUAGGCGGUGCUAAGGCCAGGGACUGGGAGUCUUAGUCAGUCAGCAACACAGUGUCAUCUCUCUGGAAAGGAAAUUUCCAGUAGCCAGCAAGAGACUUACAAAUGCUCAAAUCUAUAGUCUACUCAUCCCUUUCAUACGAUCAGAGAUAUGUGCAAAGACUUAUGUUCGUCACAGUGCCAUUCCUCACAGUGAAAAAGUGGGAGUAGCGCCCAUGUCUGUCAGUAGGGCUUGGAUGGAUAAAGUCUAUUAUUGAGUCCUAUGCCAUCGCUCAAGAUCACGUUUGAGUAUAACCGAUGAGAAAAUGACCAUACUAUAAUGCUAAUUGAAGAAAGAAGAUAUAAAGCUGUGUGUAUGUUCUGAUCUCAAAUCUUUUAAAAAUAAAAAUGUGCUUAUGUUAUAUGUUUAA